CCGCCGUCUUCACAACUCUGAGACAAACUGUAGCAGGCGCUAUGAAACAGAGCAAGGACUAACCUUGCCUCAUAGGCCGUGACCUAUAUUUGCUCUGAGCUGUCUGCAAGUCCAGAUACAUUACGCUGAUAAUUAACGCCAUUGUGUCUGCCUGUAAGACAUAUUACCAGACAGCACGCAGGAACAGGUAGAAACAACAAGAUGUUGCAUCGCGGGCAGAAGCUGUGAAGAGUUCAGCUCGGAGUCGGUCGUGAAGAAAAGAGGCUGCUGGAAGCGAGACAGAGUGUGCUGGCUGCGGGUGAGGUGGACAUUUGGAAGUGCCCCACCUAGACAUACAGGACAACACAUCACAGACGUCUGCAAAAUAGACCGAAUUCAGACCAAAUGCUGCUGGUUACCUACAGCUCCGAGGCGGCCA